rnacentral:tRNA from 1 species
GGUGGCUUAGUGGUAAAGUGUUUGCCUUGCAUGCAUGAGGCCCUGGGUUCGAUUCCUCAGCACCA